rnacentral:tRNA from 1 species
GGUGAUGCAGUUCAGUGGUAGAGCAUUUGCCUAGCAUGCAUAAAGCCCUGAGUUCAAGCCUUAGAAUUGCCC